UAAUAAUUCAGAGUUAUAAGAAACAACCAGACCCUCUGAUCCCUUUGACCUGCGGUGUGUUUUGAAUAUUAUCAUGUUGCAUUAAAAAGCCUUUAGUCUUAUUCAACCUCCAAAACUGACUUAAAUGAUGAGGCAGCUAUUGUUUUUCAUUGAAUUAACUGGGAAAAUUGGUAGGGAAACAUUUAUAAAAUUAUGCUCAAAAUAUGAAGUAAUGGUAUCCAGAGUUGAUGAUAUGUAGGUUGCUGUUAUAAAAAUGAAGCCUGCAUAGCUACAUUAUUACAAAAUCUUAUUUUCAUUGCAAGAAAAAUGUGGGUUUUAAGAGAAAUUCUGACAUUAAGUUAGUAGCUCAGUGGCGAUUAUGUUACAUCUCAGAAUAUAAGAAUUUUUCUACAUAUCCAAAGUUGCUGCUGUUUAUAUUCUUAAGACAGAGCUAUUAUAAGCAUUUUUUUAGUGGGUAUGUUCCAUUCUUUGAUUUUUUUGGCUAGGAUAUUCUAAAGGUAGUUUGUUCUGAAGGACUCAAGGUUAACAGUAUAGUAUUAUAGUAUUUACCUUUUCAUUUAUUUAUUCAAAAAUAUUUUCUGAGUGUCCAUGCAGCACUAGUUACUGCGUAAAUUUAGUCUUAAAGAGACUCAGCCAUGUCAAGAGUAGGGAGAAGAGUUCCAAGUAGGAGAACAGUGUGAACUGUCCCUGAGGUGUUAAGGCACUUGGCAAGUUUGAUAGAACUGAACAGUGUGAUUAGAUCUUAGUGAGGAUGAAAGAGAAUGGAACAAAAAGUGACUGAGAAAGACUGAAAUGCAGUAAAUCCACUAGGGGCUAUUCAUGUACACAGAGGUGUUGCCCUUAAAUUAAAUGUCACCAGACUGCUAUCCAUUUUGUGACAUGUGUAUUCAUUUUGUGAUUUUUUUUA
rnacentral:lncRNA from 1 species